CNCNGCUUACCAUGCAGUCGAACGAUGAUGCCCAGCUUGCUGGGCGGAUUAGUGGCGAACGGGUGAGUAAUACGUGAGUAACCUGCCCUUGACUCUGGGAUAAGCCUGGGAAACUGGGUCUAAUACUGGAUACUACCUCUUACCGCAUGGUGGGUGGUGGAAAGGGUUUUACUGGUUUUGGAUGGGCUCACGGCCUAUCAGCUUGUUGGUGGGGUAAUGGCUCACCAAGGCGACGACGGGUAGCCGGCCUGAGAGGGUGACCGGCCACACUGGGACUGAGACACGGCCCAGACUCCUACGGGAGGCAGCAGUGGGGAAUAUUGCACAAUGGGCGGAAGCCUGAUGCAGCGACGCCGCGUGAGGGAUGACGGCCUUCGGGUUGUAAACCUCUUUCAGUAGGGAAGAAGCGAGAGUGACGGUACCUGCAGAAGAAGCGCCGGCUAACUACGUGCCAGCAGCCGCGGUAAUACGUAGGGCGCAAGCGUUGUCCGGAAUUAUUGGGCGUAAAGAGCUCGUAGGCGGUUUGUCGCGUCUGCUGUGAAAGCCCGGGGCUCAACCCCGGGUCUGCAGUGGGUACGGGCAGACUAGAGUGCAGUAGGGGAGACUGGAAUUCCUGGUGUAGCGGUGAAAUGCGCAGAUAUCAGGAGGAACACCGAUGGCGAAGGCAGGUCUCUGGGCUGUUACUGACGCUGAGGAGCGAAAGCAUGGGGAGCGAACAGGAUUAGAUACCCUGGUAGUCCAUGCCGUAAACGUUGGGCACUAGGUGUGGGGGACAUUCCACGUUUUCCGCGCCGUAGCUAACGCAUUAAGUGCCCCGCCUGGGGAGUACGGCCGCAAGGCUAAACUCAAAGGAAUUGACGGGGGCCCGCACAAGCGGCGGAGCAUGCGGAUUAAUUCGAUGCAACGCGAGAACCUUACCAAGGCUUGACAUUCACCGGACGCCC
rnacentral:rRNA from 1 species